AUCACCAUGGCAGCGGCUGCAGCAGAAGCCGCGCGGUGUUGGAGCUGAAGUCCGGGCGGGGGCCGAUGUGGGGGCUGGAGGCUGCGGGCGGCGGAGGCGGGAGCCGGGGAAUGAGCAUGAGACAGUGGGGACUGAGGGCUGGCUGCAUCCCCCUGAGAGCCAUCGCUACACCAGUGUUGCUGCUCACUACUCCUAACCUAAAACUAGGUUACUCAGGAGUCUGAACCGAGAGAUCCUUUCCCGUAAGGAAGAGGAGAGAGGUGAAUUUGAGAGACUGAAGGAAACAACUGGACUGUAGGCCUGUUAGGAAGUUGGAACGUGAAAAACAAAUGGUUGGAACCUAAUAUUCAGAGCCCCCUUCCCUAAAGGGGAAUGCCCCGUCCACACCAGCAUGCCUCGUGGGACUCUAACAGGAGGCGGAAACUGUCCGUGUUCCUGCCCAAGACUUCAUAUCCUCUCGAGGUUGGAUCCCAGUUGUGACAGAAGGACAGAUGUGGUGACAGCCUAAUAUGGUUAGCAGCAAGUACCAUGGCAUUUGAGUCAGCAUUGACGAAUGGGACUGCAGAAUCUCCCAGCCCUUCUGUCCUUGACCCCUCUGGAGUCUGGAGAGGAAAGUAUCGAUUGCAGCAUCACUGGGUGCUUCCCAUGGAGCCAGCAGGAGCACAGAUAAGAAGGGUCCUGCCCACUGGCAAGUAGCCAGCCACUGCCACUCCCCAGCUUCCCAGCCACUUGAAAGGCUAAGGGAGAAGUGCUCAUCCAGAGUUGAAGGAGGCCAAAAGGACUUACAGUUCAUCAGCCUUUCCCCCUUCCUCUGGCAGCCACUGGAGCUAAGCGAAAGCUGAAAUUGUAGCUACCCGCUCUGUGGGUUGCACACUCCCACUCCUGUCACUGACCCCAGGCCUGGGCCUGAGCCCAGCGCGUGUGCCGAGAGCAGGGGUGGGGAGGGGGGUGUUGGCCUUGCUGACAAAAUCCAUUUGGAAUUUCUGAAGGUUGUGGUUUGGGGCUUAAGUUUGCCACAGAGCGUGUCUGAUGAAAGAAGAGAGAAAGCUAGAAAGAGAGAGGGAGCCAAAGAGAGUACAGAGGAAGGAAACAGGAAAAAGCUGAAAUAUUCUUGCUGUGACUCCAUUGCAGAUUCUCCUCCCUCUUCCUGAGUGUGAGAAAUUCCCAUUCUGGAUAUUCCUUAUCAUAAUUCUGUCUCAUAUCCUAUGUCCAUUCUAGCUGCAUGCCCUCUCUCCUCCAUUCCCCAUACAUACACUAGGCUCAGUCAGUGCCUGAAGGUAUCUCCCUGGCUCCAUCCAAUUUCCAAACACAGAAUUCUCAACGCUUAAGUGGAAAUUCAGUACAUAAAACUUUGCCAUAAAAUAAUACCCUAACUCAACACACUCCUCAAAAUGCCCUUGCUACCAUGGUGCUACCUUCAUUUCACCUGAUUUUGGGGGUAAUUUGGGUUGCAGAUAUAUCUAUUGCCUAGAGGAGUGGAGAGAACUCUUCUACAUUCCCUGGGCAAGGAGAUGACCUGCUAGAAUCAGCAUCUUGCAACCCCAUAAGUAUUCAGUUAUUUGUAAAGUUCUAAAUGUGGGAUGCAUAUCCCUUUUCCAAAUUGAAAGAUAACGGUUUGUUUUCAAAGAUUUUGAGCUAGGAAUAGAAAGAUUGGAAUAAAAGAAAUUCUACUUUCUCUAGUUAUGGGUAUCUCCUAAAAGAUAACAGAAUUACUUUACUAAGAUUAAAUGCAGAAGAGCUCUGAAUAAGAAAGGACAAAAUAUAUAUGCAAAUAAUUCA